rnacentral:misc_RNA from 1 species
CUGGAAGGAAAGAAAUCGCUAAAUACUGGAACAAUGUAUUGCGAGGACCAUUCUAACAUAUCAGUAGAAAAGGGCCACGUUCGGAUAAACGAAGCAGACCAAAAUCCAAAAGCGAGGCCUUAUCCCAUAAGGCGACCGAGAAUAAGUCCCAGAUCAUCCUAUGGAACGGUAAUUUAUCACCCGGCACAUAACGAUAGGGGACUGAUGAAGCAGUCCAAAUAGGAAACCAUUUCAAACCAGUCGAUAGAGGAACCGACUGGAAUGAAGGUACAUAUCUACUGAUAAGUGACACAACCUUCGUUCUCAACUCUUCUUGAAGAGAGUCGAAAGAAGCGUAAAGCUCUUUUGUAAUCGAG